UGGCUCAGGACGAACGCUGGCGGCGUGCUUAACACAUGCAAGUCGAGCGGAAAGGCUCCUUCGGGGGUACUCGAGCGGCGAACGGGUGAGUAACACGUGAGUAAUCUGCCCCUGGCUUUGGGAUAGCCACCGGAAACGGUGAUUAAUACCGGAUACGACCACUUCUCGCAUGGGAUGGUGGUGGAAGUUUUUCGGCCAGGGAUGUGCUCGCGGCCUAUCAGCUUGAUGGUGAGGUAAUGGCUCACCAUGGCUUCGACGGGUAGCCGGCCUGAGAGGGUGACCGGUCACACUGGGACUGAGACACGGCCCCA
rnacentral:rRNA from 1 species